rnacentral:rRNA from 1 species
GGACAACAGUUGGAAACGACUGCUAAUACCGCAUAAGCGCACAGCUUCGCAUGAAGCAGUGUGAAAAGUUUUUCGGUACAAGAUGGACCCGCGUCUGAUUAGCUAGUUGGUGAGGUAACGGCCCACCAAGGCGACGAUCAGUAGCCGACCUGAGAGGGUGACCGGCCACAUUGGGACUGAGACACGGCCCAAACUCCUACGGGAGGCAGCAGUGGGGAAUAUUGCACAAUGGGCGAAAGCCUGAUGCAGCGACGCCGCGUGAGCGAAGAAGUAUUUCGGUAUGUAAAGCUCUAUCAGCAGGGAAGAUAAUGACGGUACCUGACUAAGAAGCACCGGCUAAAUACGUGCCAGCAGCCGCGGUAAUACGUAUGGUGCAAGCGUUAUCCGGAUUUACUGGGUGUAAAGGGAGCGUAAGCGGUUUUACAAGUCUGAUGUGAAAGCCCGGGGCUCAACUCCGGUAUUGCAUUGGAAACUGUAGAACUAGAGUGUCGGAGGGGUAAGUGGAAUUCCUAGUGUAGCGGUGAAAUGCGUAGAUAUUAGGAGGAACACCAGUGGCGAAAGCGGCUUACUGGACGAUUACUGACGCUGAGGCUCGAAAGCGUGGGGAGCAAACAG